rnacentral:tRNA from 1 species
CGGACGCAUAGCCGGAUAUUGCCGCCGGCCGGCUCGCGGCCGGCUGAUUCGCCGUGCUAACGGCGGCAUACAA